GAUCCUGGCUCAGGAUGAACGCUAGCGACAGGCCUAACACAUGCAAGUCGAGGGGCAGCGGAGAGGUAGCAAUACCUUUGCCGGCGACCGGCGCACGGGUGAGUAACACGUAUGCAAUCCGCCUGUAACAGGGGGAUAACCCGGGAGAAAUCCGGACUAAUACCCCAUAAUAUGGGUUCUCCGCAUGGAGGGUCCAUUAAAGAGAGCAAUUUUGGUUACAGACGAGCAUGCGCUCCAUUAGCCAG
rnacentral:rRNA from 1 species